rnacentral:rRNA from 1 species
AGGGAAUCUUCCGCAAUGGGCGAAAGCCUGACGGAGCAACGCCGCGUGAGUGAUGAAGGUCUUCGGAUCGUAAAACUCUGUUAUUAGGGAAGAACAUAUGUGUAAGUAACUGUGCACAUCUUGACGGUACCUAAUCAGAAAGCCACGGCUAACUACGUGCCAGCAGCCGCGGUAAUACGUAGGUGGCAAGCGUUAUCCGGAAUUAUUGGGCGUAAAGCGCGCGUAGGCGGUUUUUUAAGUCUGAUGUGAAAGCCCACGGCUCAACCGUGGAGGGUCAUUGGAAACUGGAAAACUUGAGUGCAGAAGAGGAAAGUGGAAUUCCAUGCGUAGCGGUGAAAUGCGCAGAGAUAUGGAGGAACACCAGUGGCGAAGGCGACUUUCUGGUCUGUAACUGACGCUGAUGUGCGAAAGCGUGGGGAUCAAACAGGAUUAGAUACCCUGGUAGUCCACGCCGUAAACGAUGAGUGCUAAGUGUUAGGGGGUUUCCGCCCCUUAGUGCUGCAGCUAACGCAUUAAGCACUCCGCCUGGGGAGUACGACCGCAAGGUUG